rnacentral:rRNA from 1 species
UACGAAGGGGGCUAGCGUUGCUCGGAAUCACUGGGCGUAAAGGGUGCGUAGGCGGGUCUUUAAGUCAGGGGUGAAAUCCUGGAGCUCAACUCCAGAACUGCCUUUGAUACUGAAGAUCUUGAGUUCGGGAGAGGUGAGUGGAACUGCGAUUGUAGAGGUGAAAUUCGUAGAUAUUCGCAAGAACACCAGUGGCGAAGGCGGCUCACUGGCCCGGUACUGACGCUGAGGUGCGAAAGCGUGGGGAGCAAACAGG